CUUCUGGUCUUUCCCCGUUCUCUGCACAUCAUGUACAUCCUACCUACGCAUUUAUCUUGGGACUUUAUAGUUUCUUCUCUUCUGUCUAAACAUAUGUCUUCCUCCAGAGGGGCCUUGCGUGUGGAGAAGCAUGGGCGGUUUCUGAGGAGGGCAGCUGGGCGUGGGCAUGCGUGGAGACCAGCCGUGGACCUCUACUCUCAAGGGCCAAGCCCGCCCCGCUAGAAACAGCCAAGGUGGGGAGGAUGUUUCCUUAACAAAGAUAUCACCUCCGGGCACAAUCUGACAAUCUGCCUGGCUUCAAGCUUCAGUUCUGCCUGAGUUCUUCCAGCUUUGUUAGAUUUUAGGUGGCUUGGGGUGGGAGGAAGAAUGAAGAAGAAACACAUCUUAUCUUGAUAGUGAAGACCCAGGGAAUGAAUUCAAGGGAAGGAUGAUGGAUGAAGUGGAAGAAAAAGAAGUAAGAGAAAAUAUCCUUCCUAGA
rnacentral:lncRNA from 1 species